GAUGAACGCUAGCGGCAGGCCUAGCAAAUGCAAGUCGAGGGGUAGAAGUUGCUUGCAACUUUGAGACCGGCGCACGGGUGCGUAACGCGUAUGCAAUCUGCCUUGUACUGAGGGAUAGCCCAGAGGAAUUUGGAUUAAUACCUCAUAGCAUUAUGAUGUGGCAUCACAUUAUAAUUAAAGUUCCAACGGUACAAGAUGAGCAUGCGUCCCAUUAGUUAGUUGGUAAGGUAACGGCUUACCAAGACGAUGAUGGGUAGGGGUCCUGAGAGGGAGAUCCCCCACACUGGUACUGAGACACGGACCAGACUCCGACGGGAGGCAGCAGUGAGGAAUAUUGGUCAAUGGGCGCAAGCCUGAACCAGCCAUGCCGCGUGCAGGAUGACGCAUCUAUGGUGUGUAAACUGCUUUUGUACAGGAAGAAACACUCCCUCGUGAGGGAGCUUGACGGUACUGUAAGAAUAAGGAUCGGCUAACUCCGUGCCAGCAGCCGCGGUAA
rnacentral:rRNA from 1 species